AGCCCAGCACCUAAUCCCGUGGCCGCUGCCGGUCGCCGGGAAAUGUGGUGUUCGGGAUGAUCCGUUAUCUCGAGAUCAUGCGACGCGUCCAAGUCCUUCUUGAACGGGGCCACAGCCCAUAGAGGGUGCCAGGCCCGUAGCGACCGUUGCUGAUACCGAGAGGGUCCAUCCUUAGAGUCGGGUUGCUUGAGAGUGCAGCCCUAAGUGGGUGGUAAACUCCAUCUAAGGCUAAAUAUGACCACGAGACCGAUAGCGAACAAGUACCGUGAGGGAAAGUUGAAAAGCACUUUGAAGAGAGAGUUCAAGAGUACGUGAAACCGUUUAGGGGUAAACCUGAGAAACCCGAAAGGUCGAAGGGAGAAAUUCAUUCGCGUUUCAUCGCAGGCGCGCGGCGAUCGCGUGACGGAGGCGUUCGCGCUUUCCGCACCUUUCGUCGUGUCGAUCCGGCGGCGAACGCGUGCACUUUUCUCCUGGUAGGACGUCGCGAUCCGUUGGGUGUCGGUCUAAGGAUCGACGGUGGAGCCCGCGAGCACGAUUUCGCGUCGUCGUUCGCGGACCCGUUUUUCCCGGCCGACUCGCUCGACGGUAUACGAAAGGUUUAAGGCCGCUCUCUCUACGAGCGUUCGACCCGCGACAAGCGCGCCAGUAGCCGUUGGCUAUCGGACCUAGUGCCGGUACUGACCUCUGGUGACUGUUGGUCGUGGUGUUCUCGAACCGACCUUUUUCGAAACCGAUCUGCGACGCUAUAGCGUUGGGUACUUUCAGGACCCGUCUUGAAACACGGACCAAGGAGUCUAGCAUGUGCGCGAGUCAUUGGGAAUUAUUAAACCUAAAGGCGUAAUGAAAGUAAAGGUUCGUCUCGCACGGACCGAGGGAAGAUGGGCGAUUUACCCUUAAAAGUGGUCGCUCCGCAUUCCCGGGGCGUCUCGUUCUCAUCGCGAGAAGAGGCGCACCAAGAGCGUACACGCUGGGACCCGAAAGA
rnacentral:rRNA from 1 species